GAUGAACGCUGGCGGCGUGCCUAGUACAUGCAAGUCGAGCGAACGGACGAGAAGCUUGCUUCUCUGAUGUUAGCGGCGGACGGGUGAGUAACACGUGGAUAACCUACCUAUAAGACUGGGAUAACUUCGGGAAACCGGAGCUAAUACCGGAUAAUAUUUUGAACCGCAUGGUUCAAGAGUGAAAGACGGUCUUGCUGUCACUUAUAGAUGGAUCCGCGCUGCAUUAGCUAGUUGGUAAGGUAACGGCUUACCAAGGCAACGAUGCAUAGCCGACCUGAGAGGGUGAUCGGCCACACUGGAACUGAGACACGGUCCAGACUCCUACGGGAGGCAGCAGUAGGGAAUCUUCCGCAAUGGGCGAAAGCCUGACGGAGCAACGCCGCGUGAGUGAUGAAGGUCUUCGGAUCGUAAAACUCUGUUAUUAGGGAAGAACAUAUGUGUAAGUAACUGUGCACAUCUUGACGGUACCUAAUCAGAAAGCCACGGCUAACUACGUG
rnacentral:rRNA from 1 species